UCAAGGGAAACACCUAUGGCCAAGGACAUCCCGGGUGAAGCAGGGCUGCAGUUUGAUGAGCUGAAUCAGCUUCGGGUAUUGGACCCAGAGGUUACCCAGCAGACCAUAGAGCUCAAGGAAGAGUGCAAGGACUUUGUUGACAAAAUUGGCCAGUUUCAGAAAAUAGUCGGUGGUUUAAUUGAGCUUGUUAACAGACUUGCAAAAGCAGCAGAAAACGAGAAAAUGAAGGCCAUCGGUGCUCAAAACCUGCUCAAAUCUACAGCUAAGCAGAGAGAAGCCCAAGAACAGCAACUUCAAGCACUAAUAGCAGAAAAGAAGAUGCAGCUAGGAAGGUAUCGGGUUGGCUUGGUGGAGACUAAGGCGACCCGGCACUCAUCUUCAGCGAGGUCACACCCUGGUUGGGCCCAGCUAGGGACAGCCUUCAGUGCGCUGGGUGUAGUCAGACUGUAG